ensembl:lncRNA
GGCUCAGACAGUAAAGAAUCUGCCUGCAAUGCGGGAGACCUCGGUUCCUUCCCUGGGUUGGGAAGAUCCCCUGGAUGAGGGCAUGGCAACCCAGCUCCAAGAUUCUUGCCUGACAGAGGAGCUUGGUGGGUUACAGUCCAUGGUGUCACAAAGAGUCAGGCACGACUGAACAAUUAAGCACACACACGCAACGCCAACCUAAGGGGAGUGGAUGGGAGCUGGAGCUUGAGUCACGUGGCCAAUGAUUUAAUUACUCAUGCCUCUGUAAUGGUAACCUAAUCAAAACUCUGGACACUGAAGUUUGGGUGAACUUCCACAGUUGGCAGUACUCUGCAUAUUUUGACACAUGGAUGUGCUGGCAGAGUGACAUGUCCUAACUCUGUAGGGAGAGUUCACAUCUGGAACUCUCCUAAGCCUCACCUAUGUGUCUCUCGCUUUGGCUGGUUCUGAUUUGUAUCCUUUAAUUUAAUCAUAAGUAUAGCACUUUCCUGAGCUCUGUGAGUCAUACAAGUGAAUUAUCCAUUCUGGAGGAGUUAAUGGGAACCUAUGAAUUUGUAGCCAGCUGGUCAGAAGUGAAGAUGACUUGGAGAUCCCCAAGCUUACGACUGGUAUCUGAACUCCACGGUAGCCUUGAAAACCAACAACCAUGCAAUCAUGGUAAAAAUUAGCAGCCUGACAACCACUGACGGAGGUCAGAAUGGAGCUGGACUUCCUUCAAAGCCCAGUUCCCAGAGAAUUGUCAUCAAUGACCUGCAUGUUGCUUCCUUAGAAGACCUCAUUCUCACGGUUGCCUUUAUUUGACCUGACUCAAAGGCUUCCCUGAUGCUCAGUGGUAAAGAAUCUGACUGUAAUGCAAGAGAUGUUUUUCUGAAGGGCAUUGAUGAGCCAUGCAAGUGUUUAGUAAGCGUUUUGGAAAUAUUACACUGAUGGAAAUAUGGAAUUUUCACUUUAAGGCAGCAAUCCUGGAGGUUUAACAUUAUGCACAUAGUUGGAAGUCACUGAGGAGUCUAUAAACAUCUAAAAACAUAUUGUAAAUGACAGAGCCAAAAAGCAAGUUCCAUUCAUUCCUGUAGCGAUAAUGACAAACCCAGUGUGACCGUCAACCACAAUUAAGGAAAAAGUCGUUAAGAAAUGAACAGGAGGAGCUCAAGAAGCCAUUGGAAGUAGAUCACUAUCUUUAUGCUUAACAUCUGUAGCAGUCAGCCUUCUAAAAUGCCACAGCAAUCCUCAAAUCCUGGUAUUCACAUCUUUGUGUAAUCUCCUCCCCUUGAGAGUGGGCUGGACCUAAUGACUGCUUUCUAACAAACAGCAUGUGACAAAAGUGAUGAGAUAUCACUUCUAAGAUUAAGUUACGAAAGACUGUGGUUUCUGUCUUGCUGGAAUUCUCUCUUGCCCUCUAGCAUGUUAGCACUGAAGAAGGAAAUCAUCAUGGUGUGAGCCAUCCUCCAAAUAAAGAGAUCCAUUUGGCAGGGAACUAAGGACAGCCUUCAGCCAAUAGCAAGCAAGGAACAAAGCCUGUCCAGCAGCUGCGAGAAACUGAAUCCAGCCAACAACCACAUGAAUGAGCUUACAAGAUCUGUCCCCAGACAAGCCUUGAGAUAAGCUAGCACCUUGGCUGAAGACUGAGAACCCUACAGCCAGAGCACCCAGCUAAACCUCACCAGAUAACUGACCAGAAACUGUGGGGUCAAGCAGCAGAAAGCACUGCAGGAAUUUAGGUGCUGGUCAGCCCACAAAUUUGUCAGGAAAGCUACACCGUGAAGCUUAGCUAACAGGCAGGAGUGGAGGAAGUCUGCGCAGCCAGAGCCCCAGGCAAAGCCUUCCCACAGAGCCAGUGAGCCAGAACCCCUGUGGCAUCACCAUUGAGGCUGUAGGGAGCCUACACUUGCUUUGCCACCACUACUGGCACCAGGCCUGGACACAAGACACUGGACAUCAGACACCAUGCUGGCACCACUGCCCCAGCAGCUCCUGGAAACUGAAUGUUGCUGGUGCAACCAGAAGGAGUUUUGUUCUCGCCCAGGUUCUCAGCAUGACAAGCAAGUGACAUGGGUCAUCACAUCUGAGUGCCCCAGCCUAGGGGCUGGCGGUGAGAGUAUCUGGUGUUUGUACCUUCCAUAGAGAGAUGAGCCCUGUCUGCCACCAGGAUUUUAAAGGAGGAAGGUCAAAACCCAUCAAGCAACGACGUUUAUCACUUAUGCCUCAUUGGGAGUGAGUUUAAUCAAAACCCGGCCCAGAAAAGAAAAAAAAAAAACCUUACCCAGAGAGUGAGUAAUGGAAGCAUAGAGAUUAUGGGCUCUGAAGGUAAGGAACUCUGCUUAUCACCAGCCUGCCCCAGAGCCCCUGGACUCCUAGGAGCUAAAUCAAGUCAAGUCUCAUAUAACUGAAUCAGGUGAGCUGUUCACUUCUCACCCACAAAUCCCCCAACAGCAGAAUCUUGGCCCAGUAAAUGUCAACCUGGACCCUAAUUCUCUUUACUACUAUUCUUACCAAGAGACGUCUUACAUCAGCGAUGAAGGGAUUUUAUCUGUUUGUCAUCUUUAAUAAAAAGUGACGCUG